rnacentral:rRNA from 1 species
CCCAGACUCCUACGGGAGGCAGCAGUGAGGAAUAUUGGUCAAUGGUCGGGAGACUGAACCAGCCAAGCCGCGUGAGGGAUGAAGGUACAGAGUAUCGUAAACCUCUUUUGUCAGGGAACAAAGGCGGGGACGUGUCCCCGGAUGAGUGUACCUGAAGAAAAAGCAUCGGCUAACUCCGUGCCAGCAGCCGCGGUAAUACGGAGGAUGCGAGCGUUAUCCGGAUUUAUUGGGUUUAAAGGGUGCGCAGGCGGAUUUUUAAGUCAGCGGUCAAAUCGUGGGGCUCAACCCCAUCCAGCCGUUGAAACUGGCGUUCUUGAGUGGGCGAGAAGUACGCGGAAUGCGUGGUGUAGCGGUGAAAUGCAUAGAUAUCACGCAGAACCCCGAUUGCGAAGGCAGCGUACCGGCGCCCGACUGACGCUGAAGCACGAAAGCGUGGGUAUCGAACAGGAUUAGAUACCCCCGUAG